CAGGGUGUAAACGCUGCAGACUUGGUGUUGGAGGCCCUUCGGGGGCAUUCAGUGCCGGAGAGAAGUUGUUAAGUCUGCUACUUGGGGAGUACGUCCGCAAGGAUGAAACUUAAAGGAAUUGGCGGGGGAGCACCGCAACGGGAGGAGCGUGCGGUUUAAUUGGAUUCAACACCGGAAAACUCACCAAGGGCGACUAUUACAUGAAAGCCAGGCUAAUGACCUUGCUAGAUUUUUAGAGAGGUGGUGCAUGGCCGUCGUCAGUUCGUACCGUAAGGCGUUCUCUUAAGUGAGAUAACGAACGAGACCCUCACUGAUAAUUGCUACUUCAUUCUCCGGAAUGGAGGCACAUUAUUGGGACCGCUGACGCUAAGUCAGAGGAAGGAGAGGUCAACGGUAGGUCAGUAUGCCCCGAAUCUCUUGGGCUACACGCGCGCUACAAAGGGCGGGACAAUGGGCUCCGACGCCGAGAGGCGAAGGUAAUCUCGAAACCCGUCCAUAGUUCGGACUGAGGGUUGUAACUCACCCUCACGAAGCUGGAUUCCGUAGUAAUCGCGAAUCAACAACUCGCGGUGAAUAUGCCCCUGCUCCUUGCACACACCGCCCGUCAAACCAUCCGAGUUGGGUUUCAGUGAGGUGGCCUUUAAUUGGGGUCUUCAAACUGAGAUUUAGCAAGGAAGGUUAAGUCGUAACAAGGUAUCUGUAGGGGAACCUGCAGAUG
rnacentral:rRNA from 1 species